CACACAAAUAUACAAAGCCACAUUCCUGAUUUCUGAUUUGUGUCAUCAGCUCCCACAAGACUCCAUUCAUCCAAAGAAAGCAGAAGCAGAAAAUGUCAUCGUAUCAGAAGACAAAGCAAGAAUAUGAAAGGAUAAAGGAGGAACGAGCACGAAAAAGAGAGGAAUUCUUGAAAAACAAAGCUCAGCGAGAGGAGGCUCUGAAGAAAUACAAGGAAAAGAAAACAGCAACAUAUCAGUUGUUGAAAAGAAAAAC